UACGUAGGGUGCAAGCGUUGUCCGGAAUUAUUGGGCGUAAAGAGCUCGUAGGCGGUUUGUCGCGUCUGUUGUGAAAACUCGGGGCUUAACUCCGGGCCUGCAGUGGGUACGGGCAGACUAGAGUGCGGUAGGGGGGACUGGAAUUCCUGGUGUAGCGGUGAAAUGCGCAGAUAUCAGGAGGAACACCGGUGGCGAAGGCGGGUCUCUGGGCCGUAACUGACGCUGAGGAGCGAAAGCGUGGGGAGCGAACAGG
rnacentral:rRNA from 1 species